GACGAACGCUGGCGGCGUGCUUAACACAUGCAAGUCGAACGGAAAGGCCCUGCUCUUGUGGGGUGCUCGAGUGGCGAACGGGUGAGUAACACGUGUGUAACCUGCCCUUGACUUUGGGAUAACUUCAGGAAACUGGGGCUAAUACCGGAUAGGAGCUCCUGCUGCAUGGGGGGGGUUGGAAAGUUUCGGCGGUUGGGGAUGGACUCGCGGCUUAUCAGCUGGUUGGUGGGGUAGUGGCUUACCAAGGCUUUGACGGGUAGCCGGCCUGAGAGGGUGACCGGCCACAUUGGGACUGAGAUACGGCCCAGACUCCUACGGGAGGCAGCAGUGGGGAAUAUUGCACAAUGGGCGGAAGCCUGAUGCAGCAACGCCGCGUGCGGGAUGACGGCCUUCGGGUUGUAAACCGCUUUCGCCUGUGACGAAGCGUGAGUGACGGUAAUGGGUAAAGAAGCACCGGCUAACUACGUG
rnacentral:rRNA from 1 species